UACGAAGGGGGCUAGCGUUGUUCGGAUUUACUGGGCGUAAAGGGCGCGUAGGCGGCGUGGUAAGUCACUUGUGAAAUCUCCGAGCUUAACUCGGAACUGCCAAGUGAUACUGCUGUGCUAGAGUGCAGAAGGGGCAACCGGAAUUCUUGGUGUAGCGGUGAAAUGCGUAGAUAUCAAGAGGAACACCUGAGGUGAAGACGGGUUGCUGGGCUGACACUGACGCUGAGGCGCGAAAGCUAGGGUAGCAAACGGG
rnacentral:rRNA from 1 species